CUGUGCCACCCAGGCGCCCCUCAAGCUUCUUGGGGACAGUAUCUUACACACUCUGAGUAUUGAUGGAUGAGAAUUCCUUCCUAAGCAUUCAGGCAUCUUUGCAUCCUUUUUCUAUGGAGUUGGGCCUCAGGCUGAGUCCAAUCAACCCUAAGCCUGACAAAUAUACAGCCUGGAUUUUCAGGGGCACGACUAACUUAAAUCAGCCUGGACUUUCUCCACAAGUAAACAGCUUUUCAGUUUUAUUAUUAUCAUUUUUCCCCCAUGUAUCCUGAGGUUGGGCCAGAAAACAGUCAUUCUACCCACAGAGCAGAAGCUUAGAGAAUUUUCAUUUUUUAAAAAAAUCUGACUCAGCUGUGCCUUUCUUCUUCCAGAGUUUUCAAAUACUUCCCCUCUUUUUCCCCCUUUGCUCUGCCCCACGAUCUUUGUCCAACCUUUCUUCUUGAAACCCUAGUUCUUUUAGGAGGUCUCCCUAGACUGCAGAAUACCAAUCACUUCGCUGCAUUUUUUUGCUGACAGUAUUUUCUUCAUCUGAAAAACAAACAAGCAUUUUCUCCUUCAAUUCGGAAUCUUACUUCACCUGCAUGCCCAAAUCUUCCUUAAGCCCACACAAUUACAGACUUUCAUUUGACCUGCCGCAAUUGUCCCCUCUCAGGGACAAUUGUGACUUUUAUAGGAAUUGAUUAAUUAUUGGGUUGUUCUGUUUUCCCAUGUCAGGGAGCAAGCCCUAGACUGGGUGAACCGGACACCUCCAGCAGCCGGCUCACCUCAGCCAGGAGCGGCCUCCGCGGGCCUUUCCCACAUCCCAGCACCCAUCCAGGGGGCUCUCACGUGCUUGGGCUCCCCUGAAACCGCUCUCCGCGCCCCACACGAACCCCUGGCUGAGGGGCCCUCCCCUAACUGGAAGGCCGGGCUUUCAUCACUAAGCCCCGUUUCACGGGGCGAGAGAAAAGCGUUCCCACCUGGUCCCGCCUCGGUUUUUCCCCCAGCCCCGCCCCCCGGCAGUCUGACCACUCAGCUUCGGGCUCUACAUAGCAGCGCCUGAUUGGUGUAGCACAGAGAGCGCGUCAGAGAGCGCGGAGCUCAUUGGGCGGCCCCUCGGCGCGUCUAUAAAUGGGACGCCGAGGCAGCGCAGGUGUCGUGAUUACGGAUGUACAGAUCCAUACACUUAACAUGAACUCAUUUGGGAUAAACUGAGAUAAAUUGGCAGCAUCUACACGGCAAAUGACAACAUCCUGGGGUCCAUCAUCAGCUAGCUUUGUGCAGCUGCUGCUCUUACUAGGGCUGUGCGAGCAUUAUCACGAUCCAGUUUUAGAAUAUGUCCAUCACCCCGGAAAGAUCCUGAGUUCCUGUUCGCAGUCCGUUCCUGUUCCCGCUAGGAUCCAGGCAACCGCAAAGCUGAGUUCUCUAUAGUUUUGCCUUCUCUGGACAUUUCAUGUGAACGGAGCCAUACAACCUCUGCUCUUUUGUGUCUUGCUUUUUUUCACUUAACAUUUCUGAGGUUCAUCCAACUUGCAGCCCACAGUUCUCACUGAAACCAUGGAGAGAGACACACAGGUUAGCACCCAGGAGCGGGAGGUGGUGCCGUGAGUGGGAAAGUCACUAGACCAGGCACGAGGAGGACCAGCUCUAAUUUUGGCAAGCCACUUCACCUUUCAGUUUGCUGAUCUCUAAAAUGAGUAUAAUGUAAUUUAUUUUGCUUCAAGUUUGUGGGGUUAGAGGUAAUGCAUGGAAGAGCUUAGAAAAAUGUUGUAGUGGGUGUUCACUGGUGUCAGACACUGUUGGUGCCUGUGAUGAUGAUGAUGAUGGUGAUAAUGGUGAUGAUGAUGGUGAUGGUGGUGAUGAUGAUGGUGGUGAUGAUACAGUGUUGUGUGUGCCAUCACGGGGGAUAAGAAGCACUGAUGGAAGAUGCUGCUCUUAGGGCUCUCAUCCUGGCCGCUGAGUUUCUUUGCAGCUCAAGGCAGAGGCCAGGGAUCCACAGUGGAGAGGUUAAUAGUCCAUCUCAUUUGCUCUCCAGACAACUCACUGAAUUAGCUUUUCUCAUCUACAUUUUACACCAAGGAAACUGAUGUUUGGGGAGAUAAAGUCAAGAUUCCAAUGUCACAAGCUAGUUAAGAGGCAGAGCAGGAUUUAAAGCCAGACUUGUCUAACUUCAAAGCCUCUGCUUUUCCAUUACACGUCACCACCUUCACUGAUCGACAAGGUAACGAUAAAUUCUGGGCAGAGCAUAAAACUCCUCAAGGGACAAAUGGAUGCUCUUAAGUGAUUGAUAGAUCUUGUAUCUUUUGUAUUUAACAUGUUAAAGGUUUAAUUUUGUCUCAAGAUUCAGGAAGGCAGAUGUGGUUUCCAUCACCAAGGAUUAGAUGGGAAAACCAAGCUGAAUUCAUGGGGGUUGAUCAUAGUGAGCUUUUAAAAGGAAAAUCACCCUGGGUUACAUGGCUGUAGAGACUGAGAUGAAAGGCAACCUUUGUUCCCAAUUUUUAGUGUGAUCCCUGAGUUGCACCUUACAACCUCCAUGUUCCAAGCUGCAGUAGCAUUGAUGAGAGAGAGGUGGAGCUCGUGGCAACGUGAGAUUUCAGAUCCAGGGCUGCCGAGGUCCUCCUGCUGCGUCCUUCCCCUGGUCUUGCUCAACAACAGCACAGCUACCCACAGAUGGUGUAUUAAAAACAGAGCUGCCUCACGUGAAGGCGAUGGUUUCCAUUCGGAGCCCUGUCCCGGCUUUGUCUUUUCUCUGUCAUCCUGAAGGGAGAAAUAUCUUCCAUAGCUCCAAGCAUUCACACUGCCUCAGUCCUCACAAUCGUCCUAUCAAGUAAGUGGAUUUUCUUCAUUUUACAAAGGAAGAUACCGAGGAUCAGAAAGUCAUAUAACUUGCUCAAGGUCUCCCUCGAGAGAACAGAGGCCUUGGGAACCAGACCAAGGCAUUCUGCCUCCAUCUUGUCUCUACUUCUGGUGUGAAGGAUCUGGACGAAUUUAAUGCACUGGACCUGAGCCAAAACAUAACCGAACAUGAAAAUUAUGAACACCCCUAACCUAGGUGAAGACAUCCAGGAAGCCGGCCAAAGUUGUUCCAGGUUUCCCAAAUCCUAGAAGAACCAUGAAAUUCCACGUGGCCUCUUGGAGAAGGAACUGGAUCUGGGCUUCAUGUUCUUAUUUGCACACAGCGCUUAGUUUCUCUUCACCUCAGGAUCGGCCUCCAUAGAUCAAUGAUGGCUAUCGUUUAAUUGAGCAUGUAUGAAGUGCUAAGCACAGCAUUCUAAGCACUGUAUAUACGCUGUACAUACUUGGUCCAUCUCCAAGAUAACUCCACUAGCUAGGGCCAAUCAUCAUUGCAAUUUCAGACACAAGGGGCUGAGAUUUAGCAAGACUAAGCAAUUUCUCAAGGUGGUGAGCCUCAGAGGCAAGGCUUGAACCCAGGUGGCCUGACUCCAAAAUCCACACUCUCCUCAGCUGUGUUCUGUUGUUUCUGUGAAAGAAUUUCUCAGCUCCCUUUCCACAACCAAUACAUGCCAAUGAUCCUGUGAGCAUUUAUUCCAUUAAGUAUCGAUAGCAACUAACUUCAGAGCCAUGAAUUCUGAAGGAAGGCCCUUGAUUCUUGAAGAUAUUCUUCUUGAAGGGCUCUGUCCUCCUUUCCUAACAUGCUUGCUUAUUUUCCUAGAGAACUGUCACAAUAGGAUUUCAAUGCAUUUCACUUCCGUGUUACUUUUACUCUUUCUGAGCCCCAUGUUCUCCUCUCUCAGAUUUCUCUUUGUUUGGCUGGAGUAUACUUUCAAAUGAUCAUUAUAAAAAGGUUGCAGUGGAUGGCAAAUUUCUGACCUUUACCAUACAGCCUGAUACACAUUGCUUUAUAGAUAACCACCUUUAUUUUUUCUAGAUGUUUAAGUUUUUAUGUAUCUUUGGCAUCUCUAAGCUCUUACUGGGAUAUAUUCGAGUGGUGGGCCUAAUCUGUGUUUUUUGUAAGCUCCAGGCAUUUAUCCUCCUUUCUUUGUUUUAUCAUUUUCUCUGUUUUCACCUGCUCGAAUACUCAUUAAACAGGUGGUCCACUUACUGGGUUGAUCCUCUAAGUCUCUUAACUUUUUGUCUGAAAUUUUCCAUCUCUUUGUCUUUAUGAUUUAUAUGGUCUGGAGGUGUUUUUCAAUUUGUCUUCCAGUUGCUCUAUCGACCUUUUCUCUUUAGCCACUGUGUCUGUCAUUUCCAAUCUCUUGCUCUCUGAAUGUUUUAUUUUUAUAGCAACUCUUUUUGUUUUAUGAAAUGUACUAUCUCCCUGAAUCUUUCUGAGCACGGAAAUUAGAAUCAUUUAAAAACUCUCUGCUGUUUUGCUUUCUCAGGUUUGAGUGUUUUAUUUGUUCAUCUAGAUUCUUCUCUGAUGCUGAUUUUUCUCAAAUACCUACUAGUCCUUGGAAUGCCACUUCUGUGUUUUUGAAUGAAGGAGAAAGUUUCUUAAUCUCUGAAGCUAGCAUGAGUUUCCUUUGUGGAUGUGGAAGCCUGUUUGUUUAUCAGGUCUCUUUCCUCAGUGGAAGAUGAUUAAGGUCAUAGACAAAAUGUCUACACUCAUGCUAGUUAAAGUCUUAGAGAUGCAGACAUCAUAUAUAUUAAGGGAUCAAUAAAUGUAAAAUUUUGAUAAGAUUUGGUGAGAAAUAGCAGGGCUUAUGAAGGAGCGUAAUGGGGAGAUCUAAUUUAGAUUGGAGUUUUAGGAAGGGCUUUGCUGAGGAGGUGGCAUUUAUACUGGGUCCUGGAAAAUGGGUUGGAGUUGUAUGUUAGAGUUGGUGUAAGAGCCUUCCAAACAGCAAGGAUAACAUGUUUAAAGGCCCUGGGGCAGGAAAGGGUGUGGCAUGUUGUAGGCACUGAAAGGACAGCUGGGCAUCUGUGACACACUGAUGGAGGGCAAGAGUAUACAAGUUUAGGGUAAAGAAGUAGCCAGGGGCCAGGUCAUGGGGAUCGUAAAGAUCAAGUUAUGGUAGAGGAGGUUACUUUUCAGUUCAACUAUAAAUCAUUAAAGGAUUUCAAGCAUAGGACUAAUAUGAGCAAGUCCACAUUUUUAAAAAAAAUUGGCUACUGUGUGGUUAAUGGAAUGGAGAGGGUAACAGUGAAAGUGGGGGGAAAAGGAGGUUUUUGUAGUGGUCCAGGCAGAAGAAGAUGGAGACCAAGCUGGGUACAUUAAAGAUGAAGAGAAGAACUGACAAAAUUGGUGGAUGGUGGAUGAAAUAAAAGGAGCAAGGGGAAAGUAGUUUCAUGGAUGACCUAUAUUUCUGGCUUGAGCAACAUGGUGGCUAGAGAUGUCAUCUGGGGAUGGAAGACCCUGGAUGAAAAGCAGAUUUAGAGGCAAGAUCCUGAGUUUAGUUAGGUUAUGGCAAGUGUGAGAUGGUUCAGAGACAAUCAAGUAUAGAUGUCUAGAGGGCCUGUGAAUACUUGGAUCCGAAGAGGAUUGUGCCAAGGAGGCCAAAGGAUCAUGCUUCAAAAAGGGAAGAGAGCAGUCAGUAGUGUUGAAUGCUGUCUCAUUGUCAAAUAAACACUAGCUAAAACGUAAUAAUUCAAAUCUGAAGCAAAGAGGUUUUUGAUGGCCUUGGAAAGAGUGGUCUUAUUAGAGUGGUGGCCGUGGAGGCCAGACUAUGUGGACUGAGAAGCAAGUGGAAGGUGAGCAAACCGAUGGGGGUGGGGAUGUGGUAGGUGCUCAGGCAACGCUUUCGGGAAGGGGAAGAGAGAGCAGCAGCUAAAGGGAAGUGUAGCGUAAUACAGAUAUCCGCAUCAAAAUUAUUCACUAGAUUACGAACUUGAGAAGGGCAGGGGACAUUUCCUAUACUUCAUUCUGUCCCUGAGGCCAGCACGGUGUCUGGAAUAUGGGAGAUGAUCAAACCACGUUUACUGAAUCUCCUGGAAUAUACAAAGCCUUGGAAAGAGAACUGUUCUAAUGUUCCAUGGCAGGUAGAGCUGGCUCAACACCUGGCCUGCAGUGCUGUUGCUGAAUUCCGUCACACGUCCGGAUAAUCACAGACUGCUGUCGACAGUUGUGACUUGUGUGAAUUGCCCUUGUCAGCCUGACCUCUUGGGGUUAAGCCGUGAAGGUUCUACUUGAGAAAGAGCAAAAGGCUCCAGUGGGGCUGCUGGUAAACCCCAGGGGCUGGUUGGAGAAUUGAACAGUCCUCUUGAGGUCAAAACAGAUGUUUCUUAAAUUUAGUGAGUACCUACUAAAAACCCUGUGUUUUCACGUGUUUUCUCAUCUUUUCACAAAUCUCUCAUAUUCCCAACUGUCAUUCGCAUUUCACAAAUGAGAGCAUGAAAGCACAGAGAAGGUAAGUGUAUUUCCUAAUGUGCUAUAAAUAGCAGAGUCAGGAUUUGAACCCAGGUCUUCUGAUUUCACAGGACACACACAUUACUCCAUAAAGGCAUAUGGAAAAUCAGCAGGAUAGAAGAGAAGCAAGAUGGGCUUUCACGGUCUAAGAAUCUUGAUAGCUCAUCUUUUCAGUGACUUUCGAGGGACGUGAAAAGCAGAUGCCUCCUGGGCUGUGCGGCGUGUCCUCGGAUGGACAGACGAUAUUUUAAGAGAGUCAUGAAGUUUGAUGGUAUGGAAAUCAGCAUUGGCAUUGACCUUCCAGUCACAGCAUACAGACCCUGGUUCUCCACAUCGGUAGGACUCCGGGAGAACAUCGUCAAGCCAGAGGCCACGCCAAACCGAGUUGCAAAAGUACUUCCUGAAGUCGUUCAUCAGUGAGUGCAAAUAAAACCCGUGUUUCUAGUUUUUUGGUAGAUUCACAAGCUGCUUUUACCCACAUUUUUGCACCUGCUUUUACCUUUAAAAAACACUGGGGGCUACCAGGUGAAGUACCCAGGGGGAUCCUCAAUGACAGCAGCAGAAAAUCUGGAGGUGCUCAAGAUACAAGCCAGCUAGCAGGGCGCAGACGGGAGAGGCUACCGGGAGCGGCCAGCAUCCCCGAUACUGUUUGUUUGUUCCCUGUGGUGCUUACUCUGCAUCUAUCCAUGUUUGCAUUUCCCCCACCCCCAUCCCGUGUGCAUCCCCACCUCCCUUUUCCCAUCUGCAGGCUCCCUAUUCUUAUCAAAAGCUGCUCCUCUUCUCCAGAUCAUGUAAUGCCCGUUACCAUGGCACCCGGUGCUUCACGUUAUUAAGACAAUCUCUUUAUUAGUAAGCCCGCUCCUCCCAGGAUGCCAGGCGCAUCGGAGCCUAUUUGACAAGAUGAUGAACCUGUGUCUUGGGAAGCUUAGGGACUGUCAGGGGUCAGGACAGACAGGCUCAGGGAGCGUGGACCUCACGCCCCACUCGUGGAUCGUGCCUCACUGAUUAGAGGGUGACUGGGACCCACAGCCCUGUCUCCUUUCAUUGCCUUUUCUUUUCAUCACGCAUUCGUAAUAAUUAUACAUGUUCUCACACUUCACAUUUUACAAAAGGCUUUCAAAUACAUCCCUGCUUUCAAUCCUCACCGUGUCCCUGUGAACUAAGAAUUUUGUGCUCAUUUUAAAGGCUGAAGAAGCUGGAAGCUGACGUUCAGGGAAUCUGACCUUUCAAGGUCAUACAGACACUCAGUACCAAUGGCAGAGCUGGGACUCAAACCAGCCCCUCUGCGGUCUCUACAGCCACCCUUCUUAUUAUCGACAGACAGAUGGACAGGCGCACAGAGAGACAGACAAAACAUUCUAUGCCUUUUGGGGGCUCAAUAAUCAUUUGUUGAUUUAUCGGACUAAAUGUGUCUGCUUUUGAAUCAAUGCGAUGUUACUGACUCACCAUCACUGGCUUUGGACUACUUUCCCAGGAGAGGAUUAGAUUCAACAACUUCUUUUUGUUUGUUUGUUUGUUUGUUUUCUUUUGAGCACCUGCUAGGAACAAGGCACGAUGGAAGUGCUGGGGAGUACAAAGAGUGUCCUCUAUCCCCUGCAUUCUUCGACAGCGAAGGAUGGUAAAACACGCAUUGUGCACACAAAGCUAUCAUCCAGCACAGAGUGUGAUAAAAGCCAGUCCUCCAUUCACCAACGAGUCAUUGCCUACCAGCCAUGUCCCAGGAUUCAUUGAUGAAUAAAGGAGAAAUGGGCCUUGCUCUCAUGGAACUUUCUGUCUGUGGAAGGAGACAGCUUUUGGUGGCCUGAAGUCCCUUGGGAGCUGUUUUCAUCUGCCAGGAUGUAAAGGGGAAGUCCUGUCUGCUGCCCCUGCCUUCUCCACCUUUGACUUCAGAGCCCUUCCAGUCUUGACUGGCUGAAGCCCGCGAAGGAUCUGGACCAGCUGCAUCUGUGCAGGACCGAGGCGGGAGGGGGCGGCAUCAGCCUCAGACAUAGGCCUUGAUAAGGAGGGACAAAGGCUCCAGUCCUUAAAUAUCUGUGCCCAGCCUGCUGAUGUGUCUGAAAUUCCCCCUUAGGAGUCAGUGAUGUUUGGGCAAUUCCAGAAAUAACGCUUCACACUAACAGCUGCCCAAGGUGACGUCACAGGCAGCCAGAAAAGCCUUCCUCUCCCCGCGGGCCUUUGCACCCGGGAACGGCUUCUAGAUCCGCCCCUCCCCCGCUGUCCUCCAGCUCCUGUAGCCCCGGCUUGGCUCUAACUGGGCAUCCUCUGGGGCUCCUUUUGCCAGACCGUUCCUCUUCAGCCAGCCCUCUGUAUCCCGAAUGCUUCGAACUAUUUGUUGUCUCUUGGGCCUACUUUCUCCCAGCUAAGUCUUUCCAAAACCUGUAGCUGCAGGCAAACCCAACCUCACUCCUCCCUCACUCCUCCCUCACCCCCUUUUCCGGAACCUUCAUCUGACCAGAGCCUCAGCCUCCUGCUUGCCGGGGACAGAGGUUUGGACAGUUCAAGGAUUGCAUCUUCAAGGUGAAGGGUGGUAGAGAGAACACGUAAUUUAGAGUCAAAAGAAUUUCCCCAGCUUGACUCCACUACUUGUAAUAACCAUGACUUUAGGAGCUCAGGCUGUGAAAAGACAUUAACGUUGGCUUUACAGAGUAACCAGGGGGCGCCAAUGAGUAAUCUCUAACAAGCAAUGUGGCCUGCAUUCCCGGUUAAGAUUUGGCUUUCUCUAGAUACCAUUCGGCAAAGCUGUGAUUCUUAAAUUUCACUGCCUAUGGGAAUCACCUAUGGGGCUGUUAAAGACCCAUGCCCAGGCCCUCUCUAGCCCCAAAGAUUAUAAUUCAGAGGGUCCAGGCAGAGGCCAGAAGUCUCUGGGUUUAACAGGCCUCCCAGAUGAGUCUCGUGCAGGUGGUCUAUGGACCCUUUGAGCAACCCUGCUGCAGGGGCAAAUGUCUCAGAUCCCGACUUCCUCCACUCAUUCUCUUUGGUAUCCCAUGGUUGGUACCAGCUAAAUUGGGCCGAGCAUCUCUUCCGAGGCUACUCUAAUACACUGAGUACCGAGAUUUCUCAAACUCACUCUGAUGUUGCUAAACAUCGACUUUAAGAGCUUCCAUGUGCCACACCCAUGCCCCGAUCAACUAUCCCUCUGACUUUACCUACUUCUUUUCAUGUUUGCUAUUCGGCACUCACCUGAAUGCUGGUGGUUAAUGCAGCUCUCGCCCCAUGCCUUCUGGAACUAAAUGCUUUCUGGCCUUUCGGGAUUAGCUGCCUGGAAAUAGAGUUAGUUAUUUAGUGUUUGGCUUUUGGCAGUAAGAGAGCUGUGUCUUGGCUGAACACUAGCUCAAAGGCCUUCCCCGUUACAGAGAAAAUCAUUACAGCAAGAUAAAUUCUCAUGUCCUAACAUCCAACAUCCUUUCUGACUGCAGCCCCCUUGGAUUUGCUUUUAAUAAUAUUUCCUACCUGCUUACAAAUAAGCUAUGAAAGCAUGCUGUCGACGACCGGGUAUUAUGCACAGGGGGAAAUUUCAUUACCAUUGCUUAUGUAAUUGCAAGGCCUUCCUCUGUUGUGAAUGCCUGAGAACAGAACAAGGUCAGUUUUGCCUACGUCCUCCUUUGUGACACCUACACACACAGUGGCUCUUCCGAAGGGACAAAAUAGCGGUUUGGUUGCCAUACAGAGCCCAUGGCCAGGCGCUCAUACAUGGAAACCCCAUCAAAUAUAACAGACACUUGCCCUUAUGUAAAUUUAGCUCUACAAGUGGUGGGGCCUCUGCGCUGUGCUGAGGGUAAUGGUGAGGCUCCUGACGUCCCUGUCUGCCCCACCCUGCUCAGCUGCCAGCAACGAUGAUCUGCCUCCUGCAGUCACUGGAGGGUAUAUUUAGAGCCUCUUCCCCAAGAGUGAGCUGGAUCUGAAAAUAGAUCGCUUGGCCUGUGUGCGAUUGGGUUGCAGCCUCUGAAUCUACACCUGAAUAUAUGUAGCCAGUCGCCAGCCCGAUGCACGUCUGUUCAACCGAAUGUAAGCGCCAGCGGCCUGGUCUUGGGGGCUGGGCUCUACUCCAGGAUUUCUUCUUCCCUCUUGGGACGUGAGCGGGCCUUCCUGAGGUCUGGUGCUGACAUCCACCUCUUUGGCUGUGACUCCUUGGAUCUGGACCCAGUCUGGAUUAGAGUGUCCCAUAUUUGAACUGCUGGCCUCUCUCUAGAAGGGACCAGAUGUUUCCCUCUGGUCGCAGCUCAAUGUGAUCACAGUCAUUCUGUAUCCCCAGAGCCCCCAUGUGCUUUGCAGCUGUGGUCGAGUUGUUUAUGACCGGGAGGGUUUUAUGACCAUCGCUUGACUGGGAACCAAGAAAUGGAGGCAUCUCUGUAACUGUUCUUUCCACCUUGAAAACAUUAUAACAACGUUAUUUAGUUUGGAGUUAAGGGCGGUUGAAAGUUAUCCUUCAACUUGUAGCUUAUAGCUCCAUGAGAGCAAGGAUAGAGUCCGUCUGGUUGAUAGCUGUCAUCUUUGCAUCCAUGCAAUAAGCAUUUAUUAAGCACUCACUGUGUACAAAGCAAAAGGCUAGAUUCUUUGAUACUAUAAAGAUGAAUAAGAAGUUGUCCCUGUAUUCAAGAAGACAGUCCUAGUGUAACAAGUAAUUAUGAUACGAAGGGAAAUUCAACUGGUGCCGUAAUAAAUAUUUAAGCAAGUGUUUUGUAGAACAGUGGGAGUACUAACCCUAUGAAAGGGAAGACUGACGGAGGAGAGAGCCUUUAGGUAGUGCCUUUAAUGAACAAGAUUCUGAUGGGAGACGGGCUGGGAUGUGACUGUGUCACACACAGUCCCAGCACACCUCAAGUCAGUAUACACCAAGUCCACACAGCAGAUGGCCUCAGCCACCACGCCUCCUGCUAAGCAAGAGUUUCUUGGGUUCAUGAGUUCCAACCUCAUGUCCUGGCAAACGGGCAAAGUGGAUCUUCCUGGUCCCUUGGAAUUAUCCCUGAAAGUGAUUACUCAUUUUUUGCUGAUGGCUCCUUCUUAGCUUCCUAUUAAAGGAAGUUUCUCUUUUUUUAAAUCAGUAGUUCCCAAACUCAUCUAGCUGUGCCAUAAUCACCCGGGGUUCUUUCCGCAGUUCCCAAACCCAGACCACAACCCCGAACCAAUUACAUAAUCUCUAGAGGUGGAUAAAGGCUUCUGUAAUUUUUUAAAGCUUUCCAGCUAAUUGUAAUGCCAGGUUUGGGAACAACUCCCUUAGGGGAAGUUUGACAUGGCUUGUUUCACUAGCGACUAGAGCCAUUGGCUAUGAGACAAACAGGACUGGUUCCUAAGCCAUGGAUGACACUUUGCAGAUGAAGCAUGUGUUUUUGAACACCUUUUAGGCCUUAUGGAAAUGGCCCGGUUUUUGGUGACAGCUGAGACAGUGUCCACUUAAAGCUAAUCAGUGCUCUUUUUGAAUCAGGCACCUCAUAUCUGUCCUCAGAGGCUCUCAGUCACCAAGAUGGACUCAUGCCAGUAUUAAGCCUGUCCAUACGGGAGUGUAUGAUUCCAUGAGAAGGAGCCCAUGAAAAUAAAAUUUGGGUUGUAAAAACUGUUGGAGCCUAGGAACACUCACCUCCUUGUGUCUAGUUCCCUGGGUUGACAUCAGGAGAGGUUAACAUAGUCAACAAAAGUUCGUUCAUUCAUUCAUCGUGCAGUUAUUGGAUUUCUAUUAUGAGUUAGACACCGUCGUAAAGGCUGUUGGGGCCACAAAAAUGACUCAGACCCAGUUUCUAGUUACUUAGGGUUUCCUGCCCAGUUAGAGGGCUUUUCAGAUGCAUUCAAGAUAAUCAUACAAGAAGGAAGGUGAUGAGGGACACAAGAAUGGUCCCAACCACAGGCUGUGGGAAUCCAGGAGAGAGUGGUUCCAACAGAGGGCCAUCGAAAAGCACCCAUGAGAAUGGCCUUGGGGAAUGGCGGUAUUUGGAUAGAGAACAGAAAGAGGGGAAGGCUCUUGUGAGCAGAGGGGCAGAAGGAACACACACACAAAGACGGAUUAGUGGGGUGGCAGCCCUGGAAAACAGUGAGUUAUCUGAAUCUGACCAGCCUGUGAAGGGGAGACAAAGCCAGGAAGGGAGGGUUCCAGCAGUACACAACUGACACGGUAUGUCGAACACAGAAUCAGGGGCGAGACAGUACACCCGUGGAACUCUUGGAAGCCAGGUCAUCUGAAGGGGAGACCUGAACAUUGUACUCCCCAGCUUCUCGAAUACACUGAGCUCAUUCCCUCCUUGGGGCUGUUAGACUGACUGUUCCCUCUGCCUGGUCCACCCUCCCCUCUCCUCUUCCUUUUCCCCCAACUGAAUCUUCUUCUUUCUUUAAAUCUGAGUGUCAUUUCCUCAAAGAAGUCUCCCUGACCUUUCAAUUUAAAUUAGAUUUCCCUGCUAUAGUCUCUCAUCUCAUCCAAUUAUUUUCCUUCAUAGCACUUAUCAUGGCUUCUAAUGAUAUAUUUAUGUCUGUGACUAUUUGUUUGUUCUCCAGCUCUUCCAUCAGACUACAUAAGCUCCAUGAGGUCAGGGACUUGAUCUUAUUGUCUCUUAGUGCAACCCCAGUGACUGACAGGCAAAAAGCUCUCAGUAAGUGUUGGCUGAGUGAUAAGCGAAUGGAUGCGUGACAGCAAAGAGAAAAAAAGCAAUAUGUAAGAACCUCCCUCCGCAUAACACGUAUAAUAGAAACACAUCAUUAAUAAGAGAAGGGUCAAGGUCUGGUGCAGGAUCGUUGACUGGGAGCCAGAGUCGGGGGCCUGGUUUUAUAUCCAUUUCUGUCACUUCCGAGUUGUGAGACCACAUCUGAAAUCUGACUGGUUGGAGUGGCUCUCUUUCCUUCUCUGACUUCACAACCUUGGACUCAAGUUCUUCAUUUAUAAAAUAGGGUAAUAUGGUAUGGUCUGUUUAAUUCUAACAUUUGGGAAAACACAUUGGGACUUUAUAUACUAUUAGGCAGGUGAAGUAUUACACAAAUAUAAAAAUAUUAACCGAUGUCAUCAGUGUAGAGGUAUUUGCCCUAAAUUUUAUAUCUAAUAAAUGACUUCGGUUUUUUAUUCAUGUUUACUGCAAAAUAUUAUCUUCGACUGCCAUUGUUCAAAAGCGUGCGUGUGU